rfam:Ovis aries breed Texel chromosome 1, whole genome shotgun sequence.
GCCCUGGCAGUCCAAAAGUUAGGACUCUGCACUUCUACUGUAGGAGGCACAGGUUCAAUCCCUGUUCCAGAACU